UCAUUUUGUGUAUAAAUACCGCCCUCGUUCUUCGUCACAUCCUCUUUCCAUUGCUCUUCUCGCGCUGAGAACCUUCUCCUCACGAUGAGAGCCAAGUGGAGGAAGAAGCGUAUGCGCAGACUGAAGCGUAAAAGGAGAAAGAUGAGGCAGAGGUCGAAGUAGGCCCUCUUCUUCUUCAGCUGUAUUCCCAUCGGAGCCUCCCCUGAUGACUGAAGCGUGCGGCUGAAGUGAAGCCUCCAUCAGUGGAUCGAAGGCCUACACCUGAUUUCUGCUGACUGUGCGCCUCAUGGAUCCGGCUGUGAACGUCGGACUGGACGAGGCUAAGAUGCUGGACAACCUCCCGACAUCAGAAUUGCAGCUGCGUUGUUAAUGGACCAGAAUACAACUGUCAUGUGGUGUAUUUAACAAUAAAUGGAACACUUUUAAAAAUUGA